UAUUUAUUCAUGAGGGAUACAGAGACAGAGAGAGAGGCAGAGGCACAAGGCAGAGGGAGAAGCAGGCUCCACGCAGGGAGCCCGAUGUGGGACUCGAUCUUGGGUCUCCAGGAUCACGCCCUGGGCUGAAGGCGGCGCUAAACUGCUGAGCCACUGGGGCUGCCCUUGUCUUGACCUUUGGAAGGCCAAAUAGCUCACUUCCUUGUCAUUUAUGUUUAUGACACUACAAACUGGGCAGUGGUCAAUGUGAUCACUCAUCUGUCUUAGCAGCAUAAAAAUGUCAGUGAUACUCAAGCAUGUCGUUCUGAUUUAGUACUAACAUUUCUGCAUUUACUUUCAUCUAUAGGCCACAUUCUUGAUGUGACUUGGCGUGGAAAUCUCCUUAUCCCCUUCAUGUUGGGAUUCUAUCAGUUAGCGGGGUGUUCAUGUACCACAGAGGCUGCUCUCCAGGGUGAACUUGACUCUUCCCUGUUGCGGCCAAAGAACAUUCAUUCUGUGGAGAUAAGAAGCAACCCAUCUGCAUCCUUUCGAUGGAAGCAGGAAGCACACACAGCCCGGAAUACGAGGAGGAGGCCCCCACGGACAACUGGAGAAGGAGCAAAGCAACCAAGUGGUUCUUGAAGGGGAAUGGCUUAUGCCAUGAGGACCAAAAGGCUUCUGCCCAGAUGACUGCGAAUUUAUAAAAGUGGUUAGAAAUAAGGACUGGACAACUGGGGGUUUUUUCCUCCUGUUUUCUGUACCCAGAAUCUACACAAACAUCAAACCUAUUGGCUCUGGACAUUUUAGACGACGGGAGUACUAGAAGAACGACACUGUACUACUAAGGUGAGCAGCUGAACGCUCAACAGCAGUAUGGUCAUUUCAUAUCCAGGGGUUCAAAGAAUCUGGGGUUCAAUCAUUUUCCUUAACUGAUAAGCCAUGUUAUCCCAGAUCAAUGAUUUUUACCUCUUAGGCUUUACUUUUCUCAGCACAAUGGGAACAUUCACUUGGGAAACACUCCACUUGAGUUGUCCUUAGGAUUGCAUAAUAAUAAUUUAUUUGUGUGCACUUACUAUAUGCCCAGUGUAUACUAAAUGCUUUAUAUACAUAUUACCUCAUUUAAUUCACACAACCCCCUCUCAGAAGUAGGACUGCUAUUACCUCAGUUUUACAGAUGGGUAAGGUGAGGCACUGAGAGGUUAAGUAACAUGCCCAAAGUUAAAGCUGGUCAAUGUUGGAGCCUGAAUUCGAACUCAGGCAGACUUAUUCCAGAGCUUGUUCAUUUCUUAGUGGGCUACCAAAAAACUGAACAACGAUGACAAAAAGAGCAGACCCCCAACCCCCCAAAACCCAAACCAACAACCAAAAACAAAAAACAAAUCCUGGAAUAUCACUCAGCCAUUAGAAACGACAAAUACCCACCAUUUGCUUCGAUGUGGUUGGAACUGGAGGGUAUUAUGCUGAGUGAAGUAAGUCAAUCGGAGAAGGACAAACAUUAUAUGGUCUCAUUCAUUUGGGGAAUAUAAAAAUUAGUGAAAGGGAAUAAAGGGGAAAGGAGAGAAAAUGAGUGAAAAUAUCAGUGAGGGUGACAAAACAUGAGAGACUCCUAACUUUGGGAAAUGAACAAGGGGUAGUGGAAGGGGAAGUGGGGGUUGGGGGUUGGGGGUGGGUUUGGGGUGACUGGGUGACCGGCACUGAGGGGGACACUUGACGGAUGAACACUGGGUGUUAUGCUAUAUGUUGGCAAAUUGAACUCCAAUAAAAAAAAUUAAAAAAUAAAUAAAAAUAAAUAAAAAACAAACAAAAACAAAUCCUUUAGAAGAAAAGGAGAAAGAAUAUACAGACUGUUGAGUGGAGUGCUUAGUACAUAACAAGCACAAGAGGAGCUAGCUAUUGUUAUUUUGAUGUCUCCUCACUUGAAUUCGAGAAGUUGACUUGUGCAAAAAAUUGCAUAAGGAGGCAGGAAAAAGAUGGUUUCUUUGCUGUAUUGGUGCUUUUCGAUUUUUCCACAAAGAAUCUUAGGU
rnacentral:lncRNA from 1 species